GGGGCAAACAGGGAGAAGAGAGAGGCUGAGAGAUACUUCAGGGCCCAGUGCUCUGGGGGAGAGGACCCAGGGGCCGGGGUGCAGCAGCCAGAGUGAGCCUGAGGGAGGGAGCUGGGGAGCCAGGACUGCUGGCUCCCAAAGAGGCUUCUUGGGCCCAGAGAACUGGAUGGCAAGGCAGAGGGGGAGGGACAAGGGAGAUGAGCAUAGGAUGGAGAGUGGCUCAGUGUGGGGACUGGGACAGCUUUGGCGAGAACCCAGUGCUUGCGAGUCACUUGAGGAGCCAUUCCCUAGAGGGUGUGACUUUUGAGGUGGCUUCGAUGGAGGGGACAUUGGCCCUGGGGGAGCUCGUGGCAGUGGAUGGGGUACAGGGAGAGGAGCAGGCAUGGCUUUGAUGGGAGCCCUGGGCCGUGGCAGCCUGGGAGUGACAGGCAGGUCUGGAAGGUCUGGCUCCGUUCCUACUGGUGCAAGAGUCUGACUCUGCAGGAUGUUAGCAUCCACUGAAAGGGAUGACGGGAGCAGGGCUGUGUUUUGGGUAGAGGAAUGUGGCAGGAUGGAUAGACUCAGGAGAGGCUGGAGGCCGGGAGCCUGCAGGUCAAGCGAGGAGUGAAUUAAGGUCCCAGAGGCCGCUGCAGGGAGGGAGAGUCUCUUGGAAAUACAGCUCCCUGGGCCCAGGCUCAAAUGAGUUGGACUGGCCUGGGAACCUGCAUUCAAAGGUGCCAGGGAGCCUCUGCUGCAGGGAGCAGGUUGAUGCUGCGCUGUCUCUCCAUCCUCCUCAUCUCCAGGCAGCCGCACUGAUCCUCAGUUUGGAAAAUGCAAAUUAAGCCAUGGCUGUUCAUGAGGAUUAGAGAGAAUGCACGUGAAAUGUCAGCUGCCUGCAGCAAACGGAGGUGCUCUUCGUCCUUGGACGUGGUCCCUUUUAGUGCCCGGUGGUCUCUUAGGGGGACCGUGGAUGAGCAGAUACAACUCCGAAUGGCUUGGCCUGUGCAAAACUUGGCCUGUGCAAAAGCUUGUCUUCUGCCCGCUUUUGUGUAUAAUAAGUGGCACAAGUGGGUGGGGGCACUUCUCGCAGGAAACUGACCCAAGGACUUCUCUUUGGGUGCCUAUUUGAUCCUGUACGUUUGUAAAAGACCACCAA
rnacentral:lncRNA from 9 species